GUGCUCGAUUCAGCAGCACAUAUACUAAAAUUCGAACAAUACAGAGAAGAUUAGCAUGUCCCCUGCACAAGGAUGCCAUGCAAAAUCUUGAAGUGUUACAUAUUUUU